AAACCAACAGGGAUUGCCUUAGUAGCGGCGAGUGAAGCGGCAAAAGCUCAAAUUUGAAAUCUGGCACUUUCAGUGUCCGAGUUGUAAUUUGAAGAAGGUAUCUUUGGGUCUGGCUCUUGUCUAUGUUUCUUGGAACAGAACGUCACAGAGGGUGAGAAUCCCGUGCGGUGAGAUGUCCCAGACCUAUGUAAAGUUCCUUCGAAGAGUCGAGUUGUUUGGGAAUGCAGCUCUAAGUGGGUGGUAAAUUCCAUCUAAAGCUAAAUAUUGGCGAGAGACCGAUAGCGAACAAGUACAGUGAUGGAAAGAUGAAAAGAACUUUGAAAAGAGAGUGAAAAAGUACGUGAAAUUGUUGAAAGGGAAGGGCUUGAGAUCAGACUUGGUAUUUUGUAUGUUACUCUCUCGGGGGUGGCCUCUACAGUUUACCGGGCCAGCAUCAGUUUGAGCGGUAGGAUAAGUGCAAAGAAAUGUGGCACUGCUUCGGUAGUGUGUUAUAGUCUUUGUCGAUACUGCCAGCUUAGACUGAGGACUGCGGCUUCGGCCUAGGAUGUUGGCAUAAUGAUCUUAAGUCGC
rnacentral:rRNA from 1 species